GCUCCAGCUGGGAAAAGGACAGAGCUUCUAGAGAGAAGCCCGGAGGCGGUCAGAGAUGGACCUCAGCAGGGGCUGCACUUUUCAAAGCUGCUUUUCCUCUUUGGAGGAGAAAGAGGAGGAUCAGAGGGUUGAAGUUCCCUCUUAGCACUUCUAACACCUACUUUGGACUUUAUCACUACCAAAUCAAGACUAUAAUGUGCAGUUGGCAGUCAUCUCACAGGACUACAUGAAUGGUUUUGGUGAGAUUUCUUCUGUCUCAAUUUCUGCAUGUAAAUUGAAAACUAUAAAGCACAUGGGUUAGAAUGAACAAAGGCUUGGAAUAGAUGCAUCCCCUUCCAUUUGGAGCCCUGAAUAAAAGUCAUGGCUUAGAAGAAGGAAUGGCAGAGAAGAGGGAGAGAAGGAGAGAAGAUAAACAGAAUUAAUGGGCAUAGUCUCAUUUUACAAUUAAAUAAAG
rnacentral:lncRNA from 1 species